UGUCCAAGACCUACACUGCAGAAAGACUGU
rnacentral:piRNA from 1 species